rnacentral:lncRNA from 1 species
CACCAAAAUCACAACCAUCUGCAGAACGACCAUUGAUGACAAAGAGCAAAAGUUGCCACAAAAGAUAUUCUGCAACUAAAGACAUAAGGAAGAAUCCACAAUGAGAUGGGAGGAGGCACAGAUUUGCGAUAUAAUCAAGUUCCAUACCUCCUGGUGGGUGAGGCACAAGCAAGAGAAAACUUAUAUUCCAGAGGUUCUUCCACAGCAGCCCCAGUUCUUCCAAUGCGGGGCUCAUAACCAAGCAACCAAUAGGGCAAGAACACAGUCCCACCCAUCAGCAGGCUGGCUGCCUAAAAACUUUCCUGAGCCCACAGCUGCCUCUAGACACACCCUUUGACGCAGCCCUGCCCACUAGAGGGUCAAGAACCAGCUCAACCCACCAGUGGGCAGGUACCAGCCCCUCCCAUCAGGAAGCAUGUGCACACCUCUGGACCAGCCUCACCCACCAUGGGGCAGAAGCCAGAAGCAAGAAAACUACAGUCCCACAACCUGCAGAAAUAAGUCCACAAACAUAGGGUAGACACUACCCUGGGACCAGCUGGUCCCUGGCCCUUGGGUUACAAGAGGAGCAUGUGCUGCUGGGACACUGAAGUGGCCCUUUGUAGGGGAUGUCCUACAUGUUGAGAAAGGUUGAGAAACAUAAAUAACCUUCCACAUAUAUAAAAAAUACCAAUAGAAAUUUAGACAAAAUGAGACAGCAGAGGAAUAUAUUUCAGACAAUGGAACAAGAUAAAACCCCAGAAGAACAGCUAAAUAAAGUGGAGAUAGGCAAACUACCCAAGAAAGAGUUCUGGAUAACAAAGAUGCAAAUAUGAUCAAAGAACUCAUGAGAAGAAUGGAUGCACAGAAUAAAAGGUCAGAAGUUAUUUACAAAGAGUUAGAAAAUACAAAGAAUAACCAAUCAAAGGUGAAGAAUGCAAUAACUGAAAUGAAAAAUACACGAGAAGGAAUCAAAAGUAGACUAAACAGUACAGAAAGUAGCUCACUGAGCUGGAAAGACAAAGUAGAGGAAAUCACUGCCUCAGAACAGAAUAAGGAAAAAAGAAUGAAAAGAAACAAGGACAGUUUAAGAGACCUCUGGGACAAGAUUACAUGCACUAAUAUUCACAUUAUAGGAGAUUCAGAAAAAGAAGAGAGAAAAGGGCUGAGAACAUAUUUGAAGACAUAAUAACUGAAAACUUCUUUAACCUGGGAAAGGAAAUAGUCACUCAUGUCCACAAAGCCCAAAGAGUCCUAUACAGGAUUAACCCAAAGAGGAACACACCAAGACAUAAUGUAAGUAAAAUGACAACACUUAAAGAUAAAAUAGAAGCAGCAAGAGAAAGGCAACAAACAAAACACAUAAGGGAACUUUGUCUGCAUUAUUGACUUCCAUAUCCCCAAUACCUAGGACUUCACCUGACAUAGACUAAAUAUAACAGUUAUCUAUUGCUGUGUAACAAACUAUCCCAAGACUAAGUGGCAUAAAGUGAUAACAUGAGUCAUCUCACACAGUUUCUUCUGUGCAGCAAGAAUUUGGCAGCAGCUCAGCUGGGUGGUUCUGGUUUAUGGUCCCUUCAUGAGAUUGCAGUCAAGAUGUGAGCCUACAAUUAUCUGAAGGUUGGACUGCAGGCUUCCAAAGUGGCUCAUUUUCAUGGCUGAUCCAAGAGAGAGUAAGGCAGAAGCCACAAUGUGUUUUAUGAUGGAGAUUUGGAAGUCACACACGUUACUUCUACAAUAUCCUCUUGAUUACACAGAUCCAUCAUAUUCACUGUGGGGAAAGACCACCUACUGGUGAAUACUAGGAGGCAGGAGUCACCAGGGGACUGUCUUAGAAACUGGCUACCACACAAAGUGUGCAAUUAAUAUACAUUUAUGAAUAAAUUCAUGAUUAAAUAGUAAAAAGAAGUCUGAAUACCUGGAUUUACAUUCUGGCUCUGCUGCUUGCUAACUAUGUGUUUUUGGCAAGUUAUUUAACUUCUCUAAGCCUCAGUUUCCACAUCUAUAAAAUAGAAUUACUCUAAGUAUUCAAUUACAUAGUCAGUGUAAAGGUACCUAAUAGGAUGUGGUGGAUAUAUGUGCUCAAAAAAUGUCUAUUUUGUAUUGCAAUUACUAUUAACUCUUGGUCAUAGUUUCCUCAUUAAUACUCCUUGUAAGGUUCAUUCUUCAAGAAGAAAGAAACUCACCUGUCUAGAAAAAAUGUUCAAAUCAUUUUCCUUGUGCAAAAAAACCAUCCAAAGCAUUCUCAAGUUUGCCUGGGAAGCAAGAUAAUUGACAAUAGACUACUUUAAGAUUUAUUGAAAGAAGAAUAUCAAGGCUACUGGAAAAAACUGGUAUUUGAGAAAAUUGGAUCAAGAUGGCAGCUGAGCACAUGCUCUGGUCACUCCUACCUAAGAAGCAACAGAAAAUCAAUACUAUCCCUGGAAUAUAAAAAAGAGUAUGCCAUCAGCAGGCCAGAAACUUUUAGGAAUUCAUACAAGAGAGAAAGCAGAUGGGCACUGUGAGAUAACGGAAAAUAUAGACAGUGGUCUCUGCCCUCAGUCCCUGGCACAGAACCCCUAAAACCCUCAAAAAUUCCUAAGAAGAGCACCAGGAGCAUAUUUUGUUCUAAUGAGGUGAUUCAGGGUGGGCUCCUGGAUGGCUCCCACCCUGGAGGGGGGCUGGUCAUCAGAAAGACCUAGCCAUGAUUAGAAGCUGGGAAUUUUUAGCAGCAACCCCCAGUCUGCAGGGGAGAAGGGCUAGAAUGGAGUUAGUAAUUCAUCAUGUCCAUAUGAUGAAGCCUCCAUAAAACCCCAAUAGCAAGGGGUUCAGAGACCCCCAAGGUCGGCAAGCAUCCACGUGGAGAAGGUGAUGCACCCCGAGUUCACAAAACAGAAGCUCCUGUGCUCAGGACCCUCCUAGACUUCACCCUAUGUAUCUCUUCAUCUGGCUGUUCAUCUGUUGCUUUAUCACAUCCUUUAAUAAAAUGAUAAAUGUGUUUUCCUGAGUUCUGUGAGCUGCUCUAGCAAAUUAAUUGAGCCCAAGGAGGGAGUUGUUGGAACCUCAAAUCUAUAGCAGUUCUGCCCAAAGUUUAGGGGAUAAUCUGGUCUUGCAGCUGGUGUCUGGAGGAGCAGGGGGCAGUUCUUAUGGAACUGAGCCCUUAACCACUGAGGUCUGAUGCUGUCUCCAAGUAGGCAGUGUCAGAAUUGAAUUAAAUUGUAGGACACCCAGCUGGUGUCACACAGAAUUGUUUGGGGUGGGGGGAAACUUCCACACAUUUGAUGACCAGAACUGUCAGGAGUGAAGUAUUUUGUGUGAGUGAUAAUAGAAACGCACAGGAGCAGUUCCCGUCAUGGCUCAGUGGUAAUGAAGGAUAACUAGUGUCCAUGAGGAUGUGGGUUUCAUCCCUGGCCUCGCUCAGUGGGGUAAGGAUCUGGCAUUGCCACAAGCUGUGGUGGAGGUCACAGACACCGCUCAGGUCCUGCAUUGCUGUGGCCGUGGCAUAGGGCAGCAGCUACAGCUCCAAUUACCCCUAGCCUGGGAACCUUCAUAUGCCACAGGGGUGACCCUAAAAAACCAAAGAAAUUUAAAAAUUGAAGAAACAAACCAGGAGACAGACUGAAAGAGGGUUCUUCCCUACAACAUAGGGAAAGACUGGGUUUUUCCUUUUAGACACAAUCACCUAUUGCUGGCGGUAAUAUCAGAUGAUAAAGUUUAUUUUGAGGGCACCAGAUGCAUGUAUCUAGAAAAAAAAGUUAGUGGGAAUGUUAUUUAAACUAUUCAAUACUAGGAAUCUGUCUUAAAGAUCUAUACUAAAACGUACACCUCAAGAAUUGCCUGUGUGCGAAAAAAAAAGAAUUGCCUGUGUGUGUGUAUGUAUAUUCAUAAAAAUUUUUCUAUAAUUGCAAAAAAAUUAGAAACAACCAAAAGUUCUAUGAAUGGUCAUCAUCGAAUAGAUUAUGAAACACUGUGGAGACCAGAAAAAUUAUAAAGAAACCUCAUACGUACUGACAUGGAAAGUUCCUCAGAAUAUAUUUUUUAUUUCUUAUUUCAUCAUGUUUAAAAUUAACUGGAACGUGCAGGCUGCCAAAGAGUAGGCAAAGAAUAUAAUGGCAUUUUUAUAAAAAUAAAGUCAUCAGUGGGUUAAAGAUCCAGUGUUGUCGCAGCUGUGGCCUAGGUCACAACCCUGACUCGGAUUCUCUCCGUGGCCUGCCAACUCCAUAUGCCACAGGGCAGCCGAAAAAGAAAAUCAUAAAAUAAUUAAUUCAUGGAAAAAAAAUCAGAAACUUAAAAAUUAAUCCGCUAAUAGUGGUGUUAUCCGUCAGAGUCCAGACAGGUAUCAGAAAUCACAGAAGUUGUUUCUACACAGAGACUUUCAUAACAGGAAAUUGUCAACGAGGUAUAUAGAGUUGUUAACUAGGAAACUGGUAGUUAUCACAGAGGUAGCACCUAUAGGAAGCAGCUACCACCUCUAGAACAGAAGGAACAAGGAGGAAAAGGCUGGGAUUAUUUAAAUGUAGAAAACUAAGAGGAGAGGCUAUGGGGACCGGAACCUCUGAGGAGGGGAGAAUGGCCUUCGGAUGCUGAUGGCUCUGAGGGGACGUGAUGAAGCUUUUCUGAGAGAGCUGGAGAAACUGCAGUGUGGACUCAGCUACUCAGAAAGAAACCACCACUGCUGGGGUGGUGCUACCAAGAACAGGAAACCCAUUAGAAACCGACAGGACGUCCACAGGCAGAGGACAAGAAAUUCACAGGCAGCAGACAGCAGGGAGCGAUUCCGGACUUCCUCCGCCCUUUUGCAGCUUCCCUCUAGCCCACCUUUGGCAGAGCCUAACGAAGCCAAAUGUGAUUUUCCCAGCUGCUGCUCUAGGAUCACAAUGAGGUGCUGGAGCCAAUGCUGCCAGGCAAAGAGUCAGGAUUCCAGGGGUGAAGGGUCUUCCUGAGGUCAUGUUGACAAGGCUUCGAGACUCCAGGCAGAGUUUUGCAAACUCUCUCUGCGAUGUAAUGAGCAAUGACUUUCAAUGAUGAGCAAGUGCCUCUCAAUCCAUGGACCAUUACUCAGAAGCAAGAUGGGGCUGGAAGCUAGUGAUUCAUGUACGAGAGGCAGCACGUCUCAUCACAAAGCAGCCUAUAUUUCCAUUGUGGAGCAGGAAGAGUCUUUUAUGUUUAAUUUUUAUCAAGCUGUGAAAUGAGGUUUCAGCUGCGGGUAUCUCACUGAUACCAGCCCAGCCA